rnacentral:ncRNA from 2 species
AAAUUUGCUCUGUACUUGCGUGCCCACUCGGGGCUUAAAAGGGAAACCGGUGUAAUUCCGGUGCUGUACCCGCAGCUGUAACCUGCUUGACGACUUUUUGAAAUGAUGCCACUGGGAAACUGGGAAGGCCAAAAAGUUGCAGGAAGCCAGAAUACCUGCCUUGAACCAUAACCCCGU